AACCUAAUCUUCACCCUUAACAGGACUGGAGCUUAGUAAUUGGCGCCCAACUAGUGGUCGGACUCCACAUCCACCAAUAACCAAACAGCAGCACAGGAGCUGCAACAAGCAAAAAGAAAUAAGACAGCAGCGAGGGAGCUGCAAGUGACCAACAAAAAAUUAAGACAGCAGCGAGGGAGCUGCAAGUGACCAACAUAAGAAAGAAAUAUUUUUUUUGUGUUAGUGGAAUCAUCCCAUCUAGCAAAGGAAAAAAAUGUGCGCAGCGUAAAGACAGAGGACGACAGAAGUCCAAAACACAAAAACAACUAAAUCAACAGAGCCCAGCAACUGAAGAAGAAAACCAACAACAAAAAAAAGAAAGCAAAAUAUUUUUUUGCUUAUGCAAUAAGCCUAACGAAAAAUCCAGCUAAGAGAUCUCACACUUACCUGCGUUUCUCCUUGGGCUUGCCGCUGGCAGUUAGUCCCGAUCCUCCAGAGGAUGCUCCUGAAUUCUUGGCGGCAGAGCUUGAUGACGAUGGAGAUGAAGAUGCAGCAGCGAUCACGCCAUUGCGCUGAUUUUGUGCUGCCGCUGCUGCAUCGAUUGUUUCAAUUAAAGAAACCAUUUUCUUCGAAAUGAUAAAACUGCAGCCGCAUUCAAAUUUUUAUCGUUAAAUGAGCUGAAAGUUGCUGUAGCCUUGUUUGCUACUUCUUUGAGACCUUUUGUUGUUGUUGUUGUAUUUGGUGUUGUUUCUAACUAAAAGGGAAUUGGAAUUUUCA